GAGUGGCAUCAGGAUGCCUGAGAGGAGAGCAUGCUGUUUCUGCUUCAUUGGAUCCAUGCAGGUCUUGGAGGGUGGUGGCUCACUCUUUCUGGGCCAAGUAGAGGGUGGCUCAGACACUCCCCUUCCUCCAGGCUUCUCAUCUGUAACUGGUGAAGCCCGGAAGAGCUUGUUGUUCAAGAGGAAAUCUUGUGUUACUUCUUUAUGAAGGACUCCAGCCUGGUGGAGAUGAACGAGUCCUGAAGAUGGAAUCGAAGCUGUUUGGGCACAAAAGACAACAGAAGAUGGUACUUAAGGCUUUGGCUCUGGAAAAAGAGAUACCUGGAUUCUGAUCCUGAAGUCUCUCACUUAAAUUCUACAAGUCUCACUUUCUCAUCAGAUAAGUUCCCCAGGAAACAGAUUUGCAUGCAGGAGUCUUAUUGGGGAACGCUUUCAGAACUACCACCCUGUAUAGGAGCGAGAGAAGCAGGACUAUGCAGAAGGAGAAGUUGAACAACUCCAUGGAAAGCUCUGAAGCUGGGAUCAUCCUUCCAGAAUGUCUUGGAUUGAGACAAAGGGUGGGGAUUGUUAUUCAAAUUGUUAACCACACAGCGAUGGGUUCCAUGGCUUGGCAGGUGACAGCCCAGUGACCACAGCCAAGGAGGAUUUAAUAGGGGAUUUCAUUACUAGUAACAAGUAAAGCUGACACUGGGGAUAGUUCUCAAAGCAGUGCUUCCCGGGUGGUGGGGCGGCGGGGGGGGCGGUGGGGAGGGGGCUUGUGGGUGUGGUUUGCUCCUGGCUUUGAUAGCUUUGAUACACGAGUUGUCCCAAUGUUCUGCUGGCACCGGGGGAAGUGUUGCUUUUGGUGUUAGAGUGAACCCUUGCUGAGACUUCUGCCUAGACCAUAAGCUCCAGAAGGGCAGGCUCAUGUCUCAUGGUAUCCCCAGACCUUAGCCCAGUUCACAGCUCCAUUAAUAUUUGCUGAUUGAAUAUAUAAGACUAAAGACAAACUGUUACUUAAAUGCAUUAAUGUGAACUUGAUACACUUGACAAAGGGAAAUAGAGAAUCUGAUCUAAUCUGAGGGAUCGAGGAGGCUUCUCCAAAGAAGUGACGCUUGAGCUGAGACCCAAGGACUGGUUAAGAGUGAACCAGGCAAAAUGGGGGGAAGGGGGUGCUUCCCAAGCCUCCCCUGGACAGGCGUUCAGCUUUGCCACCUCCUGUGUGUGUCUCCUGGGAGGAAACAGAAAUGAGAAGGCAUGCUCACUGAAUGUAUCCUGUUAUCUGUUGCUGAAAUGUAUCCUUUGUCUGUAUCACAGCCUUAUCUUGUAC